GGGGGGGUGAGCCCCCUCCCAAUCUGCCUGCUUCUCCCGGAAGUGGAGCUUCCACUCCGGAUUGCUGCUCUGCCCCGUAGCUCUAGGGGGGCGCUUUCGGAAAGGGGAGGGAGGAGGCAGAGGACCCCCUUGUGGAUGUUGCAGGAAAGGAGAAUCGGGAGCGAGGACAAAGAGGUAAAGGGGUCGCGGGGGGGGGGGAGAAAAGGACCCAGAGACCCCUCCAGCUCCCCCAAGCGCCUUCCGUGGGGCCUGGAUCCCGGCACGCGUGCUGCGAAGGGGCGGAGAUGGGGCGCCCACCCACGAGGACUCCCUGGGGCGCGGAGAAGCGGGCCAGGAAAGGGUUAAGGGGUGCGGGAGGCGCCUGGAUAGAGACCCCCCUGUCCCUCCCUUGCUCGUCUUGGGGGGCAAUAGGGACGGAGAGAUGGGGGCGCACGGCGAGGGGUGAGCCAAGGCGGCGUCUGGGUGCAGGGGAAACCCCGGGAUGGGAGGGGGGCCAGGGGCGGGGGGAGGAGGGGGCACCCCCGGGGCAAGGAAGCGCAGCACUGGGGGGGGGGGGGAGAUAGGAAGACCAGGCUUGCGGGGGGCGUCUCCAUCGUGGCUUCCUUGGGGACUCUCCAGAGGGACCGCCUUGGCUUCUCUCUCCCGCCCAGGAAUGAAACCCCCCCUUCAAGACGACCUGAGAGGGAUCCCUGGUCAGUGGGGGUCCUGCCCCCCCACCUUUCCUUCCUGCAACCUCCAUCCUCUUCCCACCCCUUAAGCCCCCAUAAGCCCCUGCCCUGUCCUGGAAGAGAGGAGGGGAGAGGCCUUCUCAGAAGCGGCUCUAUGUUUCCGUAAUCCCACCCAGGAAGCAGCCAGAAACCUUUUCCUCUCUCUCAGGCUUCCAUCUUUAUUGUCUUUUCCACUGAGGAUGAGGAUAAUGUACACCUGUCAUCAGAAACGGGUGCAGAGUCCAUGGAAUGGCUCUCAGGAUUGAUACAGAAGCUGCACCUCAAAAGCGUAUCUGUUCCUCUUAUUCUUUGAAGGCAAUGUCAGAGUGACUGACAAGCUGAGAUACAAUCCUUCAGCAUCCGAUGACAGCGACUGCAUGAAUCUUCCCAGUCAAAGGAGCCAUUUUCAGGAUAGACAGUGCCUGUGGCUGGAGGCUCUACACACCGGGUGUACCUGUGCAGGCCAGAGACUGCCAGUAUUAGCAAAGGUGAGGUGUGUGACAUCCCCAAAUUUACAGACUGUAUGUGAAUGAGCGUUCGUGGGUGUGAUUAUCGUUUACGGCAACCCCGUGAUUUUCUCCACCCAUAACAUUUCGUAAGCUAAUAUUGCAGUAAAAAUUCCAAAAUAACUACAAAAAAUCACACGAUAAUAAUAAUAGUACAGUGGUACCUCAGGUUAAGAACUGAAUUCAUUCUGGAGGUCCGUUCUUAACCUGAAACUGUUCUUAACCUGUGGUACCACUUUAGCUAAUGGGGCCUCCUGCUGCCGCCGCACGAUUUCUGUUCACAUCCUGAAGCAAAGUUCUUAACCCAAGGUACUAUUUCUGGGUUAGCAGAGUCUGUAACCUGAAGCGUCUGUAACACGAAGUACCACUGUAGAAGUUCUAGUAUUAGUAUUUUCCCCCAGCCGCUCUGGGCAGCUUACAGUACAUAUAGGUAAAGGUAUAGGGACGCAGGUGGCGCUGUGGGUAAAACCUCAGUGCCUAGGGCUUGCUGAUCGCAUGGUCGGCGGUUCGAAUCCCCACAACGGGGUGAGCUCCCGUCUUCGGUCCCAGCUCCUGCCCACCUAGCAGUUUGAAAGCACCCUUAAUUGCAAGUAGAUAAAUAGGUACCGCUUUAUAGCGGGAAGGUAAACGGCGUUUCCGUGUGCUGCGCUGGUGCUGGCUCGCCAGAGCAGCUUCAUCACGCUGGCCCCGUGACCCGGAAGUGUCUCUGGACAGUGCUGGCCCCCGGCCUCUUAAGUGAGAUGGGCGCACAACCCUAGAGUCAGACACGAAUGGCCCGUACGGGCAGGGGUACCUUUACCUUUACUAAAGGGACCCCUCACCAUUAGGUCCAGUUGUGGCCGACUCUGGGGUUGCGGCACUCAUCUCGCUUUAUUGGCCGAGGGAGCCGGCGUACAGCUUCCGGGUCAUGUGGCCAGCAUGACUAAGCCGCUUCUGGCGAACCAGAGCAGCGCACGGAAAUGCCGUUUACCUUCCCGCCGGAGCGGGACCUAUUUAUCUACUUGCACUUUGACGUGAUUUCAAACUGCUAGGUUGGCAGGAGCAGGGACCGAGCAACGGGAGUUCACCCCGUCGUGGGGAUUCGAACUGCCAACCUUCUAAUCGGCAGGUCGUAGGCUCUGUGGUUUAACCCACAGCGGCACCCGCAUCCCUACAGUACAUAUACAAGACAGUAAAACAUCAAACUUUAAAAACCUCCUGAUACAGCUGUCUUCUAAAUGUCAGAUGGUUGCCUACCUCCUUGCCCUCGGAAGGGAGGGCAUUCCAUGGGGCAGGAGGCCCUCUGCCUGGUUCCCUGGAACUUCACUUCUAACAGCAAGGGAACCAGCAGAAGACCCUCGGAGGCGGACCUCCCUGUCCUGACUGAGUGAUGGGCGUGAAGAUGCUCCUUCAGGUCCACAGGGCCGAGGCUGAUGAGGGCUUUAGGCUGCAGCUCUUGCUCCUCCAUAAUGAUCGAUGUAUAGUUAGCAGAGUAGGAAAAAACACUCAGAGGCAGAAAAAAAUAAUUCAGCUGAGAAAUUUAUUACUGAAGACAGAUAAGCAUAACAGGACCCAAAAAUUAGCAAAAAUGUAACUCACACUAAAACCCUGACUUAGCAAACCAAAACAGCACUCAAGUAAGAAACAGACAGAAUAUAGUAAUAUCAGAAUAUGAAGUGGGAGCAGGCGCAUUUCAAUACUUUAUUUAUAUAUUUAUAUAUAGUUCAAUGUCAGAGAAACCCUGGGACUAGAUAACAAGCCUCCAGGUGGACGUGCCCCACCUGCCCUUCACGUUCCUCUUCCGCACGGGCAGAAUCUGCCUUCUGGACAGUGGGAUUCACUGUUCUUCUCCUCCUCUCCAUCCACCAGGGCUUGACUUCAGGUGCAGCAGAAUUCCCCAGCCCCCCAAGGAUUUGAGACCCAUCAGCUUUCCUCACCUGGUUUAGCCGGCCGGUUGAAGCCGCUGCUUGAACCCCUGUUGCAUGCUGACAGCUUCUGGAAGCCACAGGUGAGAGCUGAGUGCAGGGUGGGCACCAAGGGUGGAAAAAUGACCCCAGAAGGUGCAGGACAUGUCCCCCACCAAAGGACCUACUGCUCCCCAACACCCCAUGACAUCUAGAUUCAGGUAGGUAGCC
rnacentral:lncRNA from 1 species